rnacentral:rRNA from 1 species
GACGAACGCUGGCGGCGUGCUUAACACAUGCAAGUCGAGCGGUAAGGCCCUUUCGGGGGUACGACGAGCGGCGAACGGGUGAGUAACACGUGGGUGACCUGCCCUCAGCUCUGGGAUAAGCCUGGGAAGGCCGGGUCUAAUACUGGAUAUGACUCCAUGACGCAUGUUGUGGGGUGGAAAGCCUUGUGCGGCUGAGGAUGGGCCCGCGGCCUAUCAGCUUGUUGGUGGGGUGAUGGCCUACCAAGGCGACGACGGGUAGCCGGCCUGAGAGGGCGACCGGCCACACUGGGACUGAGACACGGCCCAGACUCCUACGGGAGGCAGCAGUGGGGAAUCUUGCGCAAUGGGCGAAAGCCUGACGCAGCGACGCCCGCGCGAGGGAUGACGGCCUGGUGUAACGUACUUCUA